rnacentral:rRNA from 1 species
GAUGAACGCUGGCGGCGUGCCUAAUACAUGCAAGUCGAGCGAAGCGGGGACGGGUGAGUACCACGUGGAUAACCUCCUAUAAGACUGGGAUAACUUCGGGAAACCGGAGCUAAACCGGAUACUUAUAGAUGGAUCCGCGCUGCAUUAGCUAGUUGGUAAGGUAACGGCUGACCAAGGCAACGAUGCAUAGCCGACCUGAGAGGGUAUUCGGCUACACUGGAUAUGAGACACGGUCGAGAAUACUACGGGAGGCAGCAGUAGGGAAUCGGCAGCGAGGGAAGAAGGCCUGUAGGGGCCACGCCGCGUGAGAAAUGAGGAACUUCGGAGCGUAAAACUCUGUUAGCAGGGAUUCGGUAGCUAAUCAGAAGACCACGGCAAACCACGUCCCAGCAGCCGCGGUAAUUC